AUCAACUUUCGAUGGUAGGAUAGAGGCCUACCAUGGUGGUAACGGGUAACGGGGUGUUAGGGCACGACACCGGAGAGGGAGCCUGAGAAACGGCUACCACAUCCAAGGAUGGCAGCAGGCGCGCAAAUUACCCAAUCCCGACACGGGGAGGUAGUGACAAUAAAUAACAAUACGGGGUUCUUUAGGAUCUCGUAAUUGGAAUGAGUACAAUUUAAAUCUCUUAACGAGGAACAAUUGGAGGGCAAGUCUGGUGCCAGCAGCCGCGGUAAUUCCAGCUCCAAUAGCGUAUAUUAAAGUUGUUGCAGUUAAAAAGCUCGUAGUUGAAUUUCGAGACCGGUCUACUGGUCGUACUUUUGUACGUACUGGUUUUAUUGGUUUCUCCUUUCUGACGAACUAUAAUGCCAUUAAUUUGGUGUUAUAGGGAAUCAGGACUGUUACUUUGAAAAAACUAGAGUGCUUAAAGCAGGCUUGUGCUUGAAUAGAUUAGCAUGGAAUAAUAAAAUAGGACGGCAUGGUUCUAUUUUGUUGGUUUCUAGGAUCACCGUAAUGAUUAAUAGGGAUAGUUGGGGGCAUUAGUAUUCAAUUGUCAGAGGUGAAAUUCUUGGAUUUAUUGAAGACUAACUUCUGCGAAAGCAUUUGCCAAGGAUGUUUUCAUUAAUCAAGAACGAAAGUUAGGGGAUCGAAGACGAUCAGAUACCGUCGUAGUCUUAACCAUAAACUAUGCCGACUAGGGAUCGGACGAUGUUAAUUUUUUAAUGACUCGUUCGGCGCCUUACGGGAAACCAAAGUGUUUGGGUUC
rnacentral:rRNA from 1 species